rnacentral:rRNA from 1 species
GACGAACCGUGCGAACGUUAUUCGGAAUCACUGGGCUUAAAGCGCGUGUAGGCGGGUCGGCACGUCGAGUGUUGAAAGCCCCCGGCUCAACCGGGGAAGUGGCCUCGAUACGACCGACCUGGAGGGGGGUAGGGGGAGCCGGAACUUCCGGUGGAGCGGUGAAAUGCGUUGAGAUCGGAAGGAACGCCCGUGGCGAAAGUGGGCUCCUGGACCCCGCCUGACGCUGAGACGCGAAAGCCAGGGGAGCGAACGGG